rnacentral:rRNA from 2 species
GAGUGGCGGACGGGUGAGUAAUGUCUGGGAAACUGCCUGAUGGAGGGGGAUAACUACUGGAAACGGUAGCUAAUACCGCAUAACGUCGCAAGACCAAAGAGGGGGACCUUCGGGCCUCUUGCCAUCGGAUGUGCCCAGAUGGGAUUAGCUAGUAGGUGGGGUAACGGCUCACCUAGGCGACGAUCCCUAGCUGGUCUGAGAGGAUGACCAGCCACACUGGAACUGAGACACGGUCCAGACUCCUACGGGAGGCAGCAGUGGGGAAUAUUGCACAAUGGGCGCAAGCCUGAUGCAGCCAUGCCGCGUGUAUGAAGAAGGCCUUCGGGUUGUAAAGUACUUUCAGCGGGGAGGAAGGGAGUAAAGUUAAUACCUUUGCUCAUUGACGUUACCCGCAGAAGAAGCACCGGCUAACUCCGUGCCAGCAGCCGCGGUAAUACGGAGGGUGCAAGCGUUAAUCGGAAUUACUGGGCGUAAAGCGCACGCAGGCGGUUUGUUAAGUCAGAUGUGAAAUCCCCGGGCUCAACCUGGGAACUGCAUCUGAUACUGGCAAGCUUGAGUCUCGUA